rnacentral:lncRNA from 1 species
AUGUCCACGAGAGCUGUGUCUGCACCUGGCUUGCGCCCGGGCCGAGGCAGCUACUCCUGCUCCCAGGGGCAGACGUCCGGGUUGCUCCGGGUCGUGCCGCUGCCUCCGUCCCCGGGGCUCUCCCUGGCUGUGCCCUGCCCGUGGCGGGCCGGGAUGGGCUCCGCGCUCUCCGCCUCCCACGGACACACCGCCGAGGCUUCGCUGGGGUCCGGGCCGGGCUGCUCGGGGGCUGGGGGAGCCCCUUCCGCUUCCCAGGGACAAACCUCGGCUGUGCCGGGGCCGCUGCCUYGGCCCGGGCCCCGCGGGGGCUGGAUGCCCGGCAGGACGCGGCACAGCGGCUUGUGCUCAGCUGCUCGCGCUGCUCCCCGGGGCUGCGCUUCUGGUUUGACGCUUUCCUUCUCCGCGGCCUCGGGCUCCGCUGCUUCCCAGGGGCAAACAUCAGCCUUCCUGCUCUCCGCAAUCUCGGACUUCUCGCAGGGGCUUUUCCCCGCUCCGUUUUUUUGGGAGGGCUCCUCCGCGCCCGGGCUCUCCCAGGGGCAGACAGACUCCCGCUGGCUGCUCCCGAAUGCCGCCGGGGCCGAGGUGGCUGCAGCAUGGCCCGAUCCUGCUGCACCGGCCCUGCUGGGAGCUGCCUGGCCUGGUCCCUMCGGUGGGACACCCAGCCCUUCCCAGGGGCAGGCGUCGCUUCUAACGCCAGCAUCGGCCCCCGCCGUUUCCCACGGGCAGAUGUCUGCCCGCCGGCUCUCCGUGCCCUCUGCUUUCCUCGAGGGCGCUUUGGGCAGACCCUGGCUCCCAGCAUGGGGUUUCGCAGCCAGCUCCUCCGUGUCCUGGCUCUCCCAAGGACAGACCUCGGCCUUGAUGCUCCCAGCGCUCUCUGAUUUCCCAGAAGUGGCUUCCAGCCGCUCUGCUCUUUCCGCACCGUCCCCGGCGGAGGAGCCCUCCGUGCCCGUGCGCUCCCGGGGGCCGGCGGACUCACGCGCUCUGCUUCCUUUCUCCUCCUCCUUAGACCGGCUCCCUCCAGUCUCUCUGAAAACACUUCGAAUUGGGCUUGGGCUUUUGCUUCCCGGGGACAGACCAUCUUUAGCCGGCCUUAAUUUCUCCCUAGGCGAUGGAGGUGCAGCCGCCUCCCAAGGGCAGAUUUCUGCUCUGCCGCYGCCUUCGCGCUCCUGCGUCUCCCACGGGCACACGUCUGCCUUCGGGCUCUCCGCGCUCUGCGACGCCCUCGAGGGCGAUUUGAGCAGCCCCCAGCCCCUGGCGCGGGGUUUUGCAGCCGUCUCCCCCGGGUCCGGGCUCUCCCAGGGGCAGACGGUCUCCCGCUCGCUGCUCCCCCUCUCCGGGGACCUCUCCGGGCUGGUCAAGGCCGCCUGCCGCGUGAUGCGCUUGUCCCCUUUCGAAGCUCCCCUGGGAACCGGCUUUGCUUUUCCUGGAGCCAAGGGAGGUGCAGCUCCCUCCCAGGGGCAGAUUUCUGCUCUGCCGCCGCCUUCGUGCUCCUGCGUCUCCCCCGGGCACACCUCCGCCUUCGGGCUCUCCGCGUUCUGUGACGCCCUCGAGGGGGAUUUGAGCAGCCCCCAGCCCCUGGCGCGGGGUUUUGCAGCCGUCUCCUCCGCGCCCGGGCUCUCCCAGGGGCAGAUUUCUGCUCUCCCGCUGCCUUUGCGCUCCUGCGUCUCCCCCAGGCACACCUCUGCUUUUGGGCUCUCUGCACUCUGUGACGCCCUCGAGGGCGAUUUGAGCAGCCCCCAGCCCCUGGCGCGGGGUUUCGCAGCCGGUUCC